rnacentral:rRNA from 1 species
GACGAACGCUGGCGGCGUGCUUAACACAUGCAAGUCGAACGGAAAGGCCCUGCUUUUGUGGGGUGCUCGAGUGGCGAACGGGUGAGUAACACGUGAGUAACCUGCCCUUGACUUUGGGAUAACUUCAGGAAACUGGGGCUAAUACCGGAUAGGAGCUCCUGCUGCAUGGUGGGGGUUGGAAAGUUUCGGCGGUUGGGGAUGGACUCGCGGCUUAUCAGCUUGUUGGUGGGGUAGUGGCUUACCAAGGCUUUGACGGGUAGCCGGCCUGAGAGGGUGACCGGCCACAUUGGGACUGAGAUACGGCCCAGACUCCUACGGGAGGCAGCAGUGGGGAAUAUUGCACAAAGGGCGGAGGCCUGAUGCAGCAACGCCGCGUGCGGGAUGACGGCCUUCGGGUUGUAAACCGCUUUCGCCUGUGACGAAGCGUGAGUGACGGUAAUGGGUAAAGAAGCACCGGCUAACUACGUG